GUGCUUGUUUCAGCAGCACAUAUACUAAGAUUGGAAUGAUACAGAGAAGAUCAGCAUGGCCCCUUUGCAAGGAUGACACAAAAAUUUGUGAAACGUUUCAUAUUUUU
rnacentral:snRNA from 1 species